AGGGGAGAUUUCAUGACAAAGGCCAGGGCUCAGCCCAGCCUUGUGGGCAGACUGGGUCAGGACCUGUCUUGGGAGGGCCCAGGGAAGCCCCAAGUUCUCAGGAAGCCCCUCCUCAGAAGCCACAGCACUGAUGAGAUGAGUCUCCCAUGAGGAGCUGCAGGACCUUGUCUGACCCAGCCUCAUGGUGGGGGUCUCAUCCCACGGAGAGGGGUCCCCAGCACUCCAGCGGACUGAAACCCCAAUGGGCCCUGCUCAGGCCACCAACCCCAGCCUGGAAAGGCCAAGUCCUCCCACACCUGCUGUCCCUACAGAAAUCCACAGGGUCACCCUGUGACUGUGGGAUGUGCUCAUCUUGGAGGGCGAGCGGGUACUGACGGCCAUGGCGCAUGCAUCAUUCAAAAUACACAGGAGUAAGUUACGCAUGCCCGAGGGUGCCUGGGGGAACACGCGGGACAGACCCCGGCUGGCCUGAGGGAACUGUCCUUACACUGCCUGCUCCAUCGGGUGGGGGGGGUCUGUCCUGGUGGGCUAGGCAAGGCAUGAUGACACUGAGUCCACCCACAACGUGACCCAGACGAAAGUCAGGAGUGUGGUGCACUUCCCUGCACGGCCUUCCGCAGCUGUGGCCUCCCGUGCACAGCUCGACCCCGGGUGGCCAAAAAGGACCUGGCACUACCCAGUGGGAGGUGGGCCUGGUGGAAACAGGGUGUGGGCAACGACCCCUCCCAGGGAACCCUCCUGGCCUGAUGCCCACCCUGUUCCUAGGGCACCUCACGAAGAUUUCCUGGAACACCGUCUGGGAAUUUCAGGAGCGGCUCUCUCAGAGCUGGGCCCUGGAGGACAAUGCCGUCCUUAGGAGCCUUCAAGCCUUCAUGGAGGAACUCACAAGGACACACUGGGACCUGCCACCCCCAGCUGAGCUCGAGCAAGUGUCCUCGAGAGUGUCCCCUGGCAUUGGGACUUUCUGUGAGGGGGACAGACUGGCCCUGCCCACCCCUCCAGCUCAGCUCCAGGAGCUCAUGCCAUCAGCCUGCCUGCAACAAAAGCCUUGUCCUCCCCCAGCAUGGCCGAACAAGGCUGUCCCUAAGGCCAAGGUUGAGGCCCAUCAGCACAAGGGGGCUUCCCAAGAACCCAGAGCCGCAGGCUACCCUCUGGGGGGCCCAGAGGCUCAAGAAGAGGGUAGCCUGUCCCUCAGCGAGAUCAGGCUUUGCAUUCCAUGGAAACGCCGGUCCAGGAGUUCCGUGCUACUGCUCCAUCCAGAACUGCCCGUCUUGGACCCGUGUUUUCCGCACUGCCAUUUCCAACACCGCUCCAGGGACUCUGUGAGGGCUUCUCCAGGACCUGGGCCCGCACACUGCACUCUGAAGGGCCCAGAGGCUCAAGAUGAAGGCUGCCUGUCCCCCGUUGAGGUCAGGCUUUGCAUUUCACGGAAACACUCAUCUGGGAGCUCCGUGCCACAGAGGAGGGCAGGUCUCCACACAGACCUGCCCGCUGGGGACCCGUGUUUCCUACGCUGCCAUUUCCAACAUGGCUCCUGGGACUCUGUCGCUUCUACAUCUUCCAUGAACAGCCCUGAAACUACAAGACGGACCCCGCCCAGCGAACCCAGUGGGACCCUGACACCAGGUCCUGCCUGGGCUUAUGACAGAGAGGAGGCAUUUCAAGAGAAACCCCAGCAACAAGGUUUCCCCUGCAUGCGACUCCCCUCGGUAGAAGAACAAUAUGGCAUGGAAGGAGCCCAGGGGCCCUCUGCCCAGCUGCCUCGAAGACCCAGAUGGCUGCUGGACCUUGUUUCCUACUGCCCUUUUAUUUUUAUUUUAUGUUUUUGGCUUCUGGGCCUUGGGAAAUACUGCUCGAUGAGGAACUUGACCCCAUCAAGGCCUCUGAAGGGAAGGCUGAGCACGGGGUUCCCGCAGUCUCCGCCAGCCAGCAGCAUGCCCUGGGACCUCUGACCCCACCUGUGGGUCAGAGCCUGUCCCCCAGGGCCCAAGUUUCAGGCCAAGAGGGACCUGGCUUCAACCCAAGUCCUUGGUGGAGAGGAGUACAGCGGGUCCCCAGGUGACCAUGCAGGGGACCAGGGCACUGCGAGCCCUGGGUGCUACGAGGAUUCACAUCAGAAAACCUGGACAAGCCAGAUCAGAGACGCUGAGCCUGUGCAGUGAUGAUAUGGGUGGCUGGCACAAGGGGGUCAACAGCUGUGAACACUGCUGCCUCUUCCUGACUUCAUCACUGCUGUGUGGGCAGUCUGCACCCCAUAGCCUGGCCCAACAGCACUCGAGUACCCCGCUCUGCUAUGCCAACAGGCCACCUGGAGACUUCGAGGCCCUGCCUGCCACAUUCCCCUCCUGAAAGCCUUGUCCUGCAGCCUAGCCACUGCCGCAGCCACAGGAGGGACCACUGCCAAGCGCCUUCCAGCCGGGCUUCCCAGAGGGCAGAGGUGCCUCAGCAGCGCAGACUGGGAAGGUAGUUUCAUCCACAUUUCCAUUGUUCCCACCAAAGAGAUUCCCUACAGAGGAUGCUCUUGAUCAAAGGUGGGCAAAAUGGCACGCCAGGUGGAUGGAGUCAGCUCCUUUCCCUGGCCACCACAUUAGGUUGGGGACAAGUGGCCAUCAGGCAGGCUUGGGACGUGACAGGCUCAGCAUGCCGCACGUGGCCUGACCAAGGCUGAACAGGCUAACACCACUGGCAAGCACCCCAUCUGCUGAUGAGAGACUUGGCGUCGAUCCCUGGGCUGGCACUAUUUCCCAGGAGGACCGGCUGGCCGCCUGUGGGUAGGAUGCCACACUGUGGAGGGGGCUGAGAACGGCCUUCACUGCAGGGAGCCCCUACCUGGAUAUAGACUUGCCUUGCCCAUCCUUCCUGUCACCAUGACAGCAGCCCACAUCGAAUUGCUUUUGACCAGGUCAUUUCAUUCACAGCGAGGGACAUGCAGCAGUAACCCCAGACCAAGGAACUGACUGUUCUCACUACAUCACCCACCGCCUGGAAGCCACUGGGCUUACGGUCACUCAGUUAUGCUGAAUUUUAUCAUUUCUGUUGGAAACCAGUAGAUGGCGCUGAAGCCCUCACAGCCAGGAGGUACAGGUCUGAGAUUCAACGUGUGAAAGCGGACAAUGUUCAGUAUUGCACUUCAUCUCUCAGUCACAAAGUUUUCUAUUCCUGUCCUGGAAAAAUGGAGCUUUGCCGGUUGGAAGGUCUUAGGACCCAGGCAGAGUGGAGCUUCCCCCAGGGGAACACAACAAUGUUUCUAUUUAAUGUGAAGAGACUGGACUAAGUCUGAAACCCAGGGCACUCUCUGUUCUUGGUGUUUCCAUGUAAAGAAAGUCAAAUAACUUGCCACAAAAGUUUGCCACAGAGGCAUCUGAAAAAAGAGGGGGCAGAACUAUUCAGAACUCAGAGGCUUCAGAGUCAAAGAUGAGGCCAAGCAGGAGAAUCGUGACCCUUUGAGGACAGGGGAAGUAUGGGAGUGGCUGGGAGAUGCUGUCAUAGAGGUCCACCCCGGCCUUGUGAUCUGUCACAGAACUGUGCACUAGAAUAGCUGUGCACAUUUUCUCUCCACUGAUUAUAGUAUUUCUUUCCAUUUGCAACUCUCCAAUCACUAAGGGAGCUAGCUACCAAACGCACAUUGCUAUACCACAGCCUGGGUCUUGCAAUCCAAGCCUGGCAAGGAUUCCUUCAUCUCAAAGGCCUCAGGUGACUUUCACGCACAGCCAAGUUCAUGCCAUCAGCCCACCUGCAACAAAAGCCUUGUCCUCCCCCAGCAUGGCCAAACAAGGCUGUCCUUAAGGCCAAGGUUGAGGCCCAUCAGCACAAGGGGGCUUCCCAAGAACCCAGAGCCGCAGGCUACACUCUGGGGGGGCGAUCCCUGGGCUGGCACUAUUUCCCAGGAGGACCGGCUGGCUGCCUGUGGGUAGGAUGACACAUUCCUGCUCAAAAAAGAAGGAACGAGGGUCAACGAAUAGCGAACCAGUCACGGAACAGGAUAAGAUGUGAGCGUGUGGCCUUCCUGACACCCAGGCAAGACUUUGGGCACAAAGCUGGGCUGCAGCUCUGGCCACUGACUGGACCAGAGACACCUCCACACAGUCCGGUCUGCCCUGGCUGCUCUUCUCCCUGCUGCCACCCUCUCUUCCACUGUCUGUGUUAGGAAGGGAGAACCUGCCGGUUUUCAGAAGAAAAUGUAGCUUUGUUAUGACAUAGGAAAGACUGCAAGUUAUUAGGGGAGGAGUAGUCAAACAGCUCCUGAAAAUGAGGGGGAAGGGAAGGUGUAAAUA
ensembl:lincRNA